rnacentral:tRNA from 1 species
GAGGGUGUAGCUCAGUGGUAGAGCACAUGCUUAGCAUACACGAGGUCCUGGGUUCAAUCCCCAGUACCUCCA